UAAUACGGGGGGAGCAAACGUUGUUCGGAAUCACUGGGCGUAAAGGGCGCGUAGGCGGCCCCGUAAGUGGUGUGUGAAAUCUCCUGGCUCAACCAGGGAAUUGCGCUCCAAACUGCGAGGCUUGAGGACAGUAGAGGAAGCUGGAAUUCCAGGUGUAGCGGUGAAAUGCGUAGAUAUCUGGAGGAACACCGUUGGCGAAGGCGAGCUUCUGGGCUGUUCCUGACGCUGAAGUGCGAAAGCUGGGGGAGCAAACAGGAUUAGAUACCCUGGUAGUCCCAGCUGUAAACGGUGAACACUAGGUGUGGGAGGUGUCGACCCUUCCCGUGCCGCAGCUAACGCAUUAAGUGUUCCGCCUGGGGAGUACGGUCGCAAGGCUG
rnacentral:rRNA from 1 species